rnacentral:tRNA from 2 species
GCGCCCGUAGCUCAACUGGAUAGAGCAUGGGAUUUCUACUCCAACGGUUGCGGGUUCGACUCCUGCCGGGCGCGCCA